rnacentral:lncRNA from 1 species
UCAGGUGGAGGGCAGCUCCACACAGUCCAGGCAGAAGCUUCCUGAAGGCCAGGUGUGGCUCGGCUGCAGUCCCUGCCCAGAGGGUCCCUGGAAAGGAUCAAUGGGACACUCAGUAGAACCCGCAGCCCUGUGAGGACCCCUCAUUCAGGGCCAGACCCAGCCUUGGACUAGGUCAGGGCUGGUGCCUGUGUCCCCUUCAGGCCCUGAGUGUGUGGCCCCCCAAGGUUCAUCUUAGCUUGUUCCAGACCAGGUUGGAGGCCAGGGGGACAGCUCAGGCAGCCAGAGGGGAACAGCGGGAGGGACAGUAGGUGAGGCUGGGAGCCCCAGGACAGUGGCUUAGUUCCCAGGAUGGUGACUCGUGGCCUAAAGGGACGAUUGCCCUGAGUCUUAGAGCCUUCAUGGGGCCCCAGUAGGAAAAAGAAGCAUGGCCGUGAGGGCUGGACACCAAGGGGGACGUGCUGGUGACCAGAGCCCCUGCAGGUCCUGGGCUUAGAGCCAGGGGAAGCAGCACCUGGCCAGGCCAGCAGACCUUGGGCAGGGUUCCUGAAGCCCCCUUCCUUCUGGGCAGGAAGGCAGAGUAGGCUGCCCCUGGGUGAGGCGGGCAGCCUAUGAGGAGCAGCCUUGUCCGCCUCAUCCCAGAGGCCAGAGGGAGGCCCUGUGCAGGGCUGUGUCAGCCCUGAAGUGGGCCAGGCAGACCAGGGGUCCCCUCCCUCCUCACUGCAGAGGGGUGGCCUGAGCCAUGUUCC